rnacentral:rRNA from 1 species
CGGCGGACGGGUGAGUAACGCGUGGGUAACCUGCCUCAUACAGGGGGAUAACAGUUAGAAAUGACUGCUAAUACCGCAUAAGACCACAGCACCGCAUGGUGCAGGGGUAAAAACUCCGGUGGUAUGAGAUGGACCCGCGUCUGAUUAGGUAGUUGGUGGGGUAACGGCCUACCAAGCCGACGAUCAGUAGCCGACCUGAGAGGGUGACCGGCCACAUUGGGACUGAGACACGGCCCAG